rnacentral:rRNA from 1 species
GAUCCUGGCUCAGGAUGAACGCUAGCUACAGGCUUAACACAUGCAAGUCGAGUGGCAGCAUGAACUUAGCUUGCUAAGUUUGAUGGCGACCGGCGCACGGGUGAGUAACACGUAUCCAACCUUCCGUUUACUCAGGGAUAGCCUUUCGAAAGAAAGAUUAAUACCUGAUAGUAUGGUGAGAUUGCAUGAUAGCACCAUUAAAGAUUUAUUGGUAAACGAUUGGGGAUGCGUUCCGA